UUUCGUUUAGUCAAGUGACAGGUAAAAUUUUUAGGUUAUGUUUUUAAUCAUACGAAAAAAUUUAUAAAAGAAAUUUACAAAAAAAUGCUUUCAAAAGUCAUCAAUCCAUUAUUAUUAUUAAAACGUCGUCAGAUUUUAUAUCCAUUAAUUACAAGACUAAAAACUACUAAAGCCGUCACAACUUCAACAAGAACCGCUUUAGAUACAAAUGUAAAACCGUUAGGAGAAAAAGUGAAAGAAACGACGAAAACUGCCUCUUAUCUAGGUGUUAUAUUAUUAGGAGUCGGUGUAACCGGUACUUUAUUUUAUGCGGUGUUUCAAGAACUAUUCUCUAGCAAAAGUCCAAAUAACAUAUACACGCAAGCUGUUAAAAAGUGUUUGGCUGAUAAUCGUGUUGAAGAUAAGUUAGGUUCGCCUAUUACUGCUUAUGGGGAAGAAACUAGAAGGGGUAGAAGACAACAUGUUACACAUUUAGAAUAUAUUAAAGAUGGAAAAAAGUAUAUGAGGAUGAAAUUUUAUUUAAAAGGAACGUUCCAUAAAGGAACAGUUAAUUUAGAAAUGAUGGAGAAUGAUAAAGGAAAAUAUGAUUAUCGAUAUUUGUUUAUUGAAGUAAAUGAUUUACUUCAAACAAAAAUUGUGUUGGAAGAUAAUGUGAAUAAAAAACCGCCUUUACCAGCUUUUUCAUUUGAAUAAAGGUAUUAAAUAUUAAAUUGUAAAUGUAUUUUGGAGGUUAUUAUUUGAGGAUACAAAUUUUAUUAUAUACUGGGUGUCCAAAUAAGGGUAAGGAGCAGUUGUAUCUCAGCAAUGGUAAGGCUUAGAGGUUUGAGAAAAAAGUCCUUAUCAGCAAAGUGGGCAAAAGAAAUAGUUGGAAAUUAUUUUAAAGUUUGUAAUUCAAUCGCUAGUGGGCGUAACUGCCAUAAAGAAACAUAAAAUUCCUACUAUCUUAGAAAAUUAGAUGAUAAACUAUAACUUUGACAAUAUCAUUUAAUAACUUACAUAAUACAGCAUCAUUUAGCUUUGCGACAUUUUUCAUAUCUGU